AGUGAACGCUGGCGGUAGGCCUAACACAUGCGAGUCGAACGGCAGCACAGUAAGAGCUUGCUCUUACGGGUGGCGAGUGGCGGACGGGUGAGGAAUACAUCGGAAUCUACUUUUUCGUGGGGGAUAACGUAGGGAAACUUACGCUAAUACCGCAUACGACCUACGGGUGAAAGCAGGGGAUCUUCGGACCUUGCGCGAUUGAAUGAGCCGAUGUCGGAUUAGCUAGUUGGCGGGGUAAAGGCCCACCAAGGCGACGAUCCGUAGCUGGUCUGAGAGGAUGAUCAGCCACACUGGAACUGAGACACGGUCCAGACUCCUACGGGAGGCAGCAGUGGGGAAUAUUGGACAGUGGGCGCAAGCCUGAUCCAGCCAUACCGCGUGGGUGAAGAAGGCCUUCGGGUUGUAAAGCCCUUUUGUUGGGAAAGAAAAGCAGCAGGUUAAUACCCCGCUGUUCUGACGGUACCCAAAGAAUAAGCACCGGCUAACUUCGUG
rnacentral:rRNA from 1 species